rnacentral:rRNA from 1 species
AUUGAACGCUGGCGGCAUGCCUUACACAUGCAAGUCGAACGGCAGCAUAGGAGCUUGCUCCUGAUGGCGAGUGGCGAACGGGUGAGUAAUAUAUCGGAACGUGCCCUAGAGUGGGGGAUAACUAGUCGAAAGACUAGCUAAUACCGCAUACGAUCUACGGAUGAAAGUGGGGGAUCGCAAGACCUCAUGCUCCUGGAGCGGCCGAUAUCUGAUUAGCUAGUAGGUGGGGUAAAAGCCUACCAAGGCAACGAUCAGUAGCUGGUCUGAGAGGACGACCAGCCACACUGGGACUGAGACACGGCCCAGACUCCUACGGGAGGCAGCAGUGGGGAAUUUUGGACAAUGGGGGCAACCCUGAUCCAGCAAUGCCGCGUGAGUGAAGAAGGCCUUCGGGUUGUAAAGCUCUUUUGUCAGGGAAGAAACGGUAGUAGCGAAUAACUAUUACUAAUGACGGUACCUGAAGAAUAAGCACCGGCUAACUACGUGCCAGCAGCCGCCGUAA